GCAUAUCAAUAAGCGGAGGAAAAGAAACCAACAGGGAUUGCCCCAGUAACGGCGAGUGAAGCGGCAACAGCUCAAAUUUGAAAUCUGGUCCCCUCUGGGGGCCCGAGUUGUAAUUUGAAGAGGAUGCUUUUGGCGAGGCGCCUUCCGAGUGCCCUGGAACGGGACGCCACAGAGGGUGAGAGCCCCGUAUGGUAGGACGCCGAGCCUCUGUAAAGCUCCUUCGACGAGUCGAGUAGUUUGGGAAUGCUGCUCAAAAUGGGAGGUAAACCCCUUCUAAAGCUAAAUAUUGGCCAGAGACCGAUAGCGCACAAGUAGAGUGAUCGAAAGAUGAAAAGCACUUUGAAAAGAGAGUUAAACAGCACGUGAAAUUGUUGAAAGGGAAGCGCUUGCGACCAGACUUGCGCCCGUCGGAUCAACCGUCCCUCGUGGGCGGCGCACUCCGGCGGGCUCAGGCCAGCAUCAGUUUUCCCGGGGGGAGAAAGGCGGUGGGAAUGUAGCUCCUCGGAGUGUUAUAGCCCGCCGCGUAAUGCCCUCGGGGGGACUGAGGACCGCGCGUAUGCAAGGAUGCUGGCGUAAUGGUCGUCAGCGACCCGUCUUGAAACACGGACCAAGGAGUCGUCCUAAUAUGCGAGUGUACGGGUGUAAAACCCCUGCGCGUAAUGAAAGUGAACGGAGGUGAGAGCUUCGGCGCAUCAUCGACCGAUCCUGAUGUUCUCGGAUGGAUUUGAGUAAGAGCAUAUUGGGCCGGACCCGAAAGAAGGUGAACUAUGCCUGUAUAGGGUGAAGCCAGAGGAAACUCUGGUGGAGGCUCGCAGCGGUUCUGACGUGCAAAUCGAUCGUCAAAUAUGGGCAUGGGGGCGAAAGACUAAUCGAACCUUCUAGUAGCUGGUUUCCGCCGAAG
rnacentral:rRNA from 1 species